ACACUUACCCGGCAGGGGAGAUACAUUGAUCACAAAAGCGGUUUUCCCAGAGUGAGGCUUGUCCACUGCACUCCGCACGUGCUGCAAUUUCCCCAAAUGUGGGAAACUCGACAGCGUAAUUUGUGGUAGAGGCGGUCUGCGUUCAUUCUCUCCCCUA
rnacentral:snRNA from 1 species